GACGAACGCUGGCGGCGUGCUUAACACAUGCAAGUCGAGCGACUGCAUUCUUUUCGGAGGGUGUAUGGAGCGGCGAACGGGUGAGUAACACGUGAGUAAUCUGCCUUUGGCUUGGGAAUAACUUCGGGAAAUCGGGGCUAAUGCCUGAUGUUUACUGUCUGCUGCAUGGUGGGUGGUAGGAAAGUAUUUUUUGGCCGAGGGAUGAGCUCGCGGUCUAUCAGCUUGNGGGUGGGGUAAUGGCUUACCAAGGCUUUGACGGGUAGCCGGCCUGAGAGGGUGUUCGGCCACAC
rnacentral:rRNA from 1 species